UGCCUUGUCCAGGGCUGCUGCAGAUGUGUUGCCCCCUAAAAUAGUAGAAGAAAAUAUCAGGUCAUUGCGAGGAAUUCAAUCUGAAAUAAAAGCAGAAAAUGUUGGAAAAAUUCAACAAGGCAAGAAGAGGGAAACAGUUGAUUGUCAACAGAAAAUUACUGAACAAGUUUUGUCCAAGUUGGCUUUUUAAUGGUGUCUAUUUCAUCCAUUGGCUUUAAAAAAAAAUACAGACCUUUCUUCAUUGCCCCUUUGUUUCGGUAACACCUCCAGCUCGGGAUUUGUACUAAUCUCAUACAGCUUGCUGUAAUGCACAUUGUCAGCUCUUACCUCCUAACAGGUUAGCAACAAGGAAUCAAAUAUUAUUGAUGGAGAUUUGAGCCAUGGCGGGCCAUCAUUAAGUAAUCGACAAGCAAUUUUCAAUUCCUUUAAACUGAUUGGACGGAUAUGGUCUAGAUCGAGGAGAUCACCAACCAGUGACCAGCUAAAUGAAACUGAUCCCUCUGCGGCUGUUCUAAAAGGACAGACUGUGGAACUGGGAAAUGAAGAAGGUGGGCUUCUAGAUAUGGAGAGGAACAGGGUAAAUUUUGACUCUUGGUCACUGCUGCCACAAAAUGAGAACAUGCCUCCGAUUAUUCCAACCGAGAAAGAUCAACUCAAAGUUGAAGAUGCAGCACCAGCAAUGGGGAAAGCAAACUCCAGACCGGCAAAGAUUUCCAUAUCCUUCGACAGCAAAUUCUGACAGAAAAGAGCCAAAAGCUGGCCGGAUUAUAAACAGGAAAAAUAACCAGAACACAAGAUGAGAAGAAACUACCCCAAUCCUUGGUAUAACUGAAAGACUGUGGGUUUGGGUUUAUUGUUAUUAAUCAUUCAUAUCCUUGGGAAUUCAGUUUAUUUAUUUCAAGUAUGAAAACUUCACAAUUUUGAACUUCAAAAAAUUAAGAAAUUAUUUUUCAAAAAAUAUGUAUAGUUACUAAAAAUGUUGUUGCAAUAUUUUUUGUGUG